rnacentral:rRNA from 1 species
AUGGCCGCCCGCAACUCCGCCGACCCGAUUCAGCCAGCCGCGGUGGCCGCCCCCAGUUCGUCCAUGUUAGCCGCCGACCAGGUCCACCAGGAUACCGUCGCUGUGUCCGCAGGGGCGUCUCGAGCUACUGGGGCGCUCCCAACCCAGCACGGGUCGCCCGUGAUGGAGUUGGCCCCGCAGCAGCCCGCCGUGUACUUACGGCGCCGCCGCCGCGCCGAGCGUCUGGUGGAGACGGUCCUGCAGCAGGGCGCGGACAUGGCGGUGCCAGCGCCGCAAGAAGGUGCGCCUGUGAUAGUUCCGCAGCAAGGCGCGCCGACCGCCCCGCAUGGUCACCCCCUGACGCGCCCGGCGAUGCAAUUUGCGGGGGCAUCCACAACCAUGGCGCAGCCUCCGUUGCCGGCCGGCCCUCCAUCCAUGACGGCGAUGGAGCAUCUACAGGCCGCCGUAGAUCUGAUGGCAAAGCAGCCGUUGCCCACUCCCGAUCACAGACAUUUUGGUGAAACAUCCACCAACCCACUCCAGGGGCGUGAUCUAGAAGAGAGUAAUGUGGAGCGCCGUAUGGUGGCACAACAUAAACUCGUUCUCAGCUUGUUGGAUGGUCUCGCCCACACUCGGUGUGACCUUGCUCUUGCCUGUGGGAUCCAACCCCCGGUAAGAAGCAUGGACACACCAGCACUAGCAGCGGCUGUGCUGUCUUUACCACUUCCUGCAUCACUGUUUACACAUGGGCCCACUCUACCAGGACCUCGUACCAGGAGUGAAAUCCCUGCACGGAAGGCUGCUUACCAGUUCGCCUCCGAGUUUUACAGGUCCACUGCUAGGCCUGAGCAUCCUUCACAGCAUCGUCGCACCAACGAUUCCACUCUCAUACUCAUAGAGGAUACAGAUGACGAGGAGGAGGAGCUCGAGAAGGCUUCCUACUCCGAGGAGGUGGAUCUCGAGGAGAAUUCUGUCACGUCUGCUACCUCCGCAUCCAGCAACGACCCAGGAGAGGCAUCAGAACCAGGCGAGAAGCGCAAGAGGAAACCGAGCCAGUAG